rnacentral:rRNA from 1 species
GAGCCUUGAUGUGUAGGAUAGGUGGGAGGCUUUGAAGUGUGGACGCCAGUCUGCAUGGAGCCGACCUUGAAAUACCACCCUUUAAUGUUUGAUGUUCUAACGUUGACCCGUGAUCCGGGUUGCGGACAGUGUCUGGUGGGUAGUUUGACUGGGGCGGUCUCCUCCUAAAGAGUAACGGAGGAGCACGAAGGUUGGCUAAUCCUGGUCGGACAUCA